rnacentral:rRNA from 1 species
UACGUAGGGUGCAAGCGUUAAUCGGAAUUACUGGGCGUAAAGCGUGCGCAGGCGGUUUUGUAAGUCAGAUGUGAAAUCCCCGGGCUUAACCUGGGAACUGCGUUUGAAACUACAAGGCUAGAGUGUGACAGAGGGGGGUGGAAUUCCACGUGUAGCAGUGAAAUGCGUAGAGAUGUGGAGGAACACCGAUGGCGAAGGCAGCCCCCUGGGUUAACACUGACGCUCAGGCACGAAAGCGUGGGGAUCAAACAGG